GCGAAUUUGCCAAAAUUUACAGCUUUGCCGAAAUACGAAUGAUUUAUUGGAGUGGAAAAGUAGUCGCUUAAGUACGGAUUUUUGCAUAUCCAAAUCUGUUGCCAGGAGAGAUUGUGUUGGUGCAAGGUCUACAUAUUUAUGUGAUUCAUUAGCCUUGACCAUGAUCACAUACAGCCAUCCUGUCAAAGGAGCAGAAUUUGCACAAUAUGUAUGUAUGCAUGCAACUGAUAGCGAAUUUAUGUUAUUUGCACAUGCAGUGGCGGGUAAACCGGGUAUGUGGCAUAGGUGACACCUAGGGGCCCCCGCGCAACGGGGGCCCCCAGCCUUGCGUCAUCUCGGUGCAGUACCGGGUAAGCCGGGGAGGUGAGGUAUUUCUGACGUAGGGGCCCUCGCGCAGCGGGGCCCGCACGCAUAGUCCCGGUUGGGACUAUGCGUAAACAGUUACAAGAGUUCCCAGCGAAUUUCUAAAAAUAAAUUCUAGGGUAAUAAAGCAAUGCAAGUAUAGGAAUUAAUUGGUGGUAUUUACUCAUGUUCAGGUAGUUUGCGAAACCACGAACAAGGGAUAAGUAGCUACAUAUAUAGGUAGAUAAUGUACACAUAAACGAAUAAGGUACUAACUAAGGGCUCCAAUAACUUUUGCAUGUGAUUCCGCAAAAUUUCUGUAUGUUUGCCAGAUAAAUAAUUUCUAAUAAAAUUGGGGGCCCCUUGACGUGCUAGCCAAAAUACAUGACUUUUAACGUAUUCCUGCGAUUGAUGCUUUUGUGGAUAUUUAUUUGGUCCAAUAAAAAAGUUAAAUUAUUAAAUUUA